rnacentral:rRNA from 1 species
GACGUAGGGCGCGAGCGUUGUCCGGAUUUAUUGGGCGUAAAGAGCUCGUAGGCGGCUCAUUGCGUCAACCGUGAAAACCAGCAGCUCAACUGUUGGCUUGCGGUUGAUACGGGUGGGCUGGAGUUCGGUAGGGGAGACUGGAAUUCCUGGUGUAGCGGUGAAAUGCGCAGAUAUCAGGAGGAACACCGAUGGCGAAGGCAGGUCUCUGGGCCGAUACUGACGCUGAGGAGCGAAAGCGUGGGGAGCGAACAGG